rnacentral:rRNA from 1 species
GGGAUAUUGCACAAUGGGGGAAACCCUGAUGCAGCGACGCCGCGUGGGUGAAGAAGUAUUUCUGUAUGUAAAGCCCUAUCAGCAGGGACGAUAAUGACGGUACCUGAGUAAGAAGCCCCGGCUAACUACGUGCCAGCAGCCGCGGUAAUACGUAGGGGGCAAGCGUUAUCCGGAUUUACUGGGUGUAAAGGGGGCGCAGACGGAAUCGUAAGCCAGAUGUGAAAGCCCCGGGCUCAGCCCGGGGAGUGCAUUUGGAACUGCGGAUCUAGAGUACUGGAGGGGCAGGCGGAAUUCCUGGUGUAGCGGUGAAAUGCGUAGAUAUCAGGAAGAACACCGGUGGCGAAGGCGGCCUGCUGGACAGAGACUGACGUUGAGGCCCGAAAGCGUGGGGAGCAAACA